AUGCAUAAGCUUGUAAAUGUUCAUUAUUUGGACAAGACGACAUUUAUGCUUGGAAAUGACGAUGAAGGGGAAGAGGCUAUGGUUUUUGACACAAGUCCAAGCUUUUAUAAUCUUGUAGUUAAAGUGAGAAGCGUGUUACAUUGGAAUGACCCAAAUACGGAAGGUAAGCUUAUUGGGAGGUAUGACGUUGGAUUGGGAGUAAAGUCCCGAUUAAAGAGUAUGCCCAUCACCUCCCAAUUGCAUUGGAAUGUCUACAAGGAAAAAGUAGACGCAUCACAAGACAAGUCUCUUAAGAUCUUUGCCACAAAGGUUGAUCCUCCUCCCUUGCAAAUUGAUCUCAACCGCAAUGCAUCCUCCCCAAUACAUGAUGAUAGUGACGAGGUGUACAUCCCCAAUUGUUCUAGCCAACCACCAAGUAACCAACCUAAUGAAGAUCAUAUGAGUUAUAGUGCCAUAGUACUCCGCCAUGAUGCUAUUCCUCAUGUUGAAGAAGAUGUUAUUCCUCAUGUUGAAGAAGAUGCUAGUGGUCAUGUUGAUGAUGAUGCUAUUGUUGCUCGAGAGGAUGCUUACUCAGAGAAUGAAGAGAUCCAUUACAAUCCAAUUGGUAACUUGGAUGUCAUUGUGUGGCAACAAGACAUGGACCGUACCCUCCCUUAUAACCGUAUGUGUGGGUAUAACUCGGAUGACAAGGGUCCUGAGGAAGAAUUGGAUGAGGAUGGGUUGACUGCGCAAGAAAAUGAAAUCUACAAGAAGGGGACCGGCAAGGAGAGAGGGCCGCCUUUUUUAGGGAUGUGA
rnacentral:rRNA from 1 species